GAGGGUAUAGUUCAAAUGGCAGAGCACGGGCUUAGCAUGCAUGAGGUCCUGGGUUCAAUUCCCAGUUCCUCCA
rnacentral:tRNA from 1 species